UCUCUCUCGGCCUACACGAGGAUAAACCCUCCUCUGCAGAGCUCUCGGCCGCUUCUGCCUCUCGUUCCACCUCCUCCACCCUGGCCAAGUACUUCGCCGCCAUUGGCUGUUUCCACCCAUGGGAGCCAUACGCCAUGAUCGCACAAGUCCGGGAGACGAUAUCCGUCACAGAUAACUCGUCAAAAGAUGCUCUCGCUUCUCCAAUGGCUCCACAGUUGGCACACAUAUGAACAAGAGAACACCAUCGUGUCAUUGCUCUGCUAUCCUCGGAGAAUGUCCGCCACUAUGUCAACCUCCAAGCAUCCAAAUGUGGCAAACGUGCUGACGAUUGCAGACUUCGUGAAUCCUCCUUCCCGUACGCGAGAAGAGCACAUCUUUUCAUCUCCGUAAACAGCUACAUAAGCUUCCGACGCCAGUCCAGUGUUACGGUGGCACGGUCAUGACCAUGUUCCCGCACGUCCUGUACGUACAGGUCAUUGCGUCGACAAGCUGCGACGCCGGCGCAUGAAAGCAAAGCGACGGCGUUUCGCGUCGCACACGCUUACCAAAGAGCUUCGAAUGACGAAGGCAGGAGAGAAACCAGACUUCAUUAGGCCGCCGUGAAUGGACUCGCAAUGGCGGCGAUAGCUUUCCUAAGCCAACCGAAUAAGAUGUGGUUUCGAGAGCUUCGAUGAUGCCCGACAUUCUCGGCAACAGCUACUAUAACUCUCGAGUCUGCUCACCAUUCGUGAGACUAAGACGACGCAAUUUGGACGAUUUCGCAAGGAUUUGGUUUUUUUUGGAGGCAGUUCAUGCACCCAGUCGGAGGCGGUAAGAAUACCGUCAGUCUCCAGAUCCUCAACGUCCUUCGUAUCCAACCCUGGUCCAACUAGUUCGGCCCAUUCGUAUCAGAAAUGCCCGAUCGCUACCCCAACCCGGGCCGUGAGUUCAAACAAGCUGGGCCGAUAGGAUCUGGAAACCUCUUCGGAAGCUUACCGCAAGCCACAGGGCGCUUGAACUGCCUCCAAAAAAAUUAAAUCUUGGCAAAAUCAUCAAAUUUACGUUAUCUUAUUCUGACCUGCGGUGAUCAGACUCUAGUAACUUGCUAAAGCACUGAAGCUUCGUGCAACAGUAACAGCGUGGAGAAAGCUCGUGCGCGUCGAAUCCAUCUCGCUCGGCCGACACAAUGACAUCCUCUUCUGCACUGCAGAGCUCUCAUCGGCUUCUACCUCCUCCUCCUCCUCCUCCUCCACCCACGCCGAGUACGUAGAUUUGAACCUUCAACCCACUAGAGACGUAAGGUGCUCGACCAAAUGCGCCUACGAAGUCGAUUUGUUCGUUGUUUUUGCCUACUUAGAAGUGUGCAUGGAAUUCCCUCCUUCAAAAGAGCGGAGAAAGCAGUCACGUACGUGAUGGAACGGGGCUCAAAACCACACCAUUUCAUCUCCUUACUACGCCGGUGCAGUCUCAUAGUGGCAGGGCGUGACCGUGUUCCUGCACGCCGCCUCCGUGCCGGUCAUUUCGUCAAACAGCUGGAACGCGAACGCAGAGCAAAGCGACGGCACCGACCAAAGAGCUUUAAAUGACAGCGUCCAGGAGAUGAACCCGGCUUCAUCAGGAAGGGGUGAUAGAACUGGUAGUGGCGAGAGCUUUCGGAAGCCAACGAUCGGACGAGGUCUUCGACGAUGCCUGUGAUCCCCUGGCAAAGACGGUGCCGCACUGUCAUUGAUACAUGAGUGAAGUAAUACUGGAGUCUCGUUACCUUUAGUGCGAAUAAGACGUUGCAGUUUGGACGAUUUCGCAACGAUUUAAUUCUUUUGGAGGCAGUUCAUGCACCCAGCGGGAGGCAGCGGUAAGAGAACCGGAGAGUCUUCGGAUCUUCGACGUCCCCCGAAUCGCACCCAACCGCGGCCGCGGGUUCGACAGGCCGGCAUCAUUAAGAAGCAUAAGGUAUGGAAACCGAUUUGUAAGCUUACCGCCAGCCACCGAGUGCCUGAACUGCCUCCAAAAAAAAAUAAAUCUUGUCAAAA